GACGAACGCUGGCGGCGUGCUUAACACAUGCAAGUCGAACGGAAAGGCCCUGCUUUUGUGGGGGGCUCGAGUGGCGAACGGGUGAGUAACACGUGAGUAACCUGCCCUUGACUUUGGGAUAACUUCAGGAAACUGGGGCUAAUACCGGAUAGGAGCUCCUGCUGCAUGGUGGGGGUGGGAAAGUUUCGGCGGUUGGGGAUGGACUCGCGGCUUAUCAGCUUGUUGGUGGGGUAGUGGCUUACCAAGGCUUUGACGGGUAGCCGGCCUGAGAGGGUGACCGGCCACAUUGGGACUGAGAUACGGCCCAGACUCCUACGGGAGGCAGCAGUGGGGAAUAUUGCACAAUGGGCGGAAGCCUGAUGCAGCAACGCCGCGUGCGGGAUGACGGCCUUCGGGUUGUAAACCGCUUUCGCCUGUGACGAAGCGUGAGUGACGGUAAUGGGUAAAGAAGCACCGGCUAACUACGUG
rnacentral:rRNA from 1 species